rnacentral:rRNA from 1 species
UACGGGAGGCAGCAGUGGGGAAUAUUGCACAAUGGGCGCAAGCCUGAUGCAGCCAUGCCGCGUGUAUGAAGAAGGCCUUCGGGUUGUAAAGUACUUUCAGUCGUGAGGAAGGUGUUAAGGUUAAUAACCUUAGCAAUUGACGUUAGCGACAGAAGAAGCACCGGCUAACUCCGUGCCAGCAGCCGCGGUAAUACGGAGGGUGCGAGCGUUAAUCGGAAUUACUGGGCGUAAAGGGCACGCAGGCGGUUAAUUAAGUUGGAUGUGAAAUCCCCGGGCUUAACCUGGGAAUGGCAUUCAAGACUGGUUAGCUAGAGUCUUGUAGAGGGGGUAGAAUUCCAUGUGUAGCGGUGAAAUGCGUAGAGAUGUGGAGGAUACCGGUGGCGAAGGCGGCCCCUGGGACAAGACUGACGCUCAUGUGCGAAAGCGUGGGGAGCGAAACAGGAUUAGAUACC